rnacentral:lncRNA from 1 species
GACCUCAAACGGCGCCCCAACCUCCUCCACCUUCUACUGUCGUUUACCACCCCGAUUAUUCCUCAUUCUUUCCUCUCACUCGAAUCUCACGUGCUUCAUCUCUCUCCAACAAAUGAAGGAUUGAUGGGGGUCGUAGGAUUAAGGGGGUUUAAUCCUCUUCGUCUAUCUGUCCCAAGUUAGUUGAUUUCAGAGAGAUUUUUCUCAUUUUUGGGGGAUUUUCAGAUUUAGAAGGUUCGAGAUUUCUGGAGAAAAGAAUAUAUAAGGUGAGGAUUUUCAUUCUUAAGGGAGGAUUUUUUUUGGGAAAAAGUUUGAGAAUAAAUUUCGGAGAGAGAUUUUGACAGAAAACUAGGGUUUUGUGCUUAGUUUCCUUUUGAUUUUUUUUCUCUGUUGUCUUGUCAAUCCUAGAGAAGAAAUACUAAAGAAUUUAGUUGUUAUUUUGUUACGAGUUUUGCUUCAAAAGAUCUGGACAAAAAAAUUCAAAAAAAAAAAGAAAAAUAGUUAUGUAUUUCAGUACUUCCUUUCAAUUCUAAAAAAGAAUGUUUCUAUUUUGAGUAAAUUAGCAUUUCAAUUCGAAAACAUAUACAAAAAAAAGUAUUCCAGUUUUUGUGUUUUGAUUUCGAGUCUCAAACAUGGGUGUUCGAAAGAGCUGCGAUCGUUUCUAGUUCGCAUUUGAAAAUACAUUUUCCAGUGAGGUUGAUUCUGUUCGAGGUUCAAGUUGUCCGUCCUUGAUUAGUUUACUGCCAUUCCAGGUUUGCGGACAAGUUUGUCACCGGACUAUCUUGUAAUCGCCUUCUGGCAAAUUAAUCGCAAACUCCCAUUCAGGUUCACAUCUUAUCUUACUAUGUUUAUGUAUGUAUGAAUCAAAGUAUGGUUGGAGCUUAAGAUAUGAAAGUUUAAAUUACAUGGUAUACUUAAGUGAGUGUUAGUGAAUGCCGGCUGUGAUCGAGCUAUUACCAGUUUAUGGAUUUUUGUUUUUUUAUAUGUUAAGGUGUUUAAUUUCUUUAUGUGUUUGAAAUAUGUUUUAAAGUUUGUACUUACUAGAUUUUUACAUGAAUGACUGAUCUUCUAGUCCGCUCUGUGAUUGAUAGGCGAGACAUGUUACUAUUGUGCUUAUUUUUGGUUAUUAGAAGAAUUUCUUGCACAUCUCGAUUCCAAAUUGGAUUCACAAUAAUGUUAAUCAGUGAUUCCUAUUAUAUCCAAACAUCUUGAUUAGUUUAACAUGACAUAUCCAUUAGAGCAUGCCAUUAUGUGUAGGAUUGAAGGAGUCUAUGUUAGUCGUGAAUCAGCGACUUUGGUGUAGCCUUUAAUUGUUUGAAUGAACCCAGUGCACCCAGAAUAGUAAGGUUUGCUACUUAAAGACUUAGUUUCAUUUGUUUACUUUCAUUAACUAUGGAUUCUUACGUUUGAUAUUUCCUAUCUCAAUUUAAAGGUUGAUCUCCAGAAGAUUACUUUUUCUGUUGUUCCUUCUAAUUUUCAUAAUGCCCGUGUGAUGCUCAUUACCACUCUUUAGUGCUGAUUAGUAUAAUUAAAUAACUUUUCUUUUGGUGUAAAUGAAUAGUAAAGUAGCUUCUGUUCUUGAGUUGUAUGGUUAAUGAUAGUUGUUCUUUUGUUAAUAUGUAAAGAAAUGAAUGCCUGCAACUUAAGGAGAUUUACCAUUCUGAAAUUUAGUGUAUCUAAGGCCUAAAUAUGGAUCUGUCUAAGUACAAUUUGAACCAUUUAUUAGCAUUUGCUUUGGUUUAGUUUUAAAAUGCAAACUUCAUGUUAGCUGGGCGUAUUCCAGCAUUUGGCUUGGUUUAACUAUUUAUUUUUUGGUAGUAGACAUUUGCUCAUAUGAUGUUCCAGCAGUCGGUAUUGUGUUUUAAAUCGAAUGGACAGUCUAUUGAAUCUUGCUCUUAUAUUUCCUUAUUGGCAUGCUUUAUUUUAUCUGCUCUAUAGAAUCAUUGUUAUGUUAGGGAUCAUGUGUUGUAUUCUUUCCUUAGGGUGGUGUUGUCUGUUGAAGUUGUCAUACUCAUAGCGGCGAACUAAUACUUACUAUGUGGCGCAUUUGAGUUGGUUCAAUGCUCUGAUCUUUGUAUUACUGGAGUUGGCAUUAAGAAGUUGCCACUAUAUAUUUGAUAAUUAACGUGUUCCUGAUACUGCAAUACAAUAAGAUUUCAUAUUGUGGACAAACUUUUGUACAUUAUUGAACAAUUUUGGGCAAAACAGUCUUAAUAAUAAUAAAAUGCUAUUAAUUGUGUAC